CGCCAGAGAAAAGGAAAGAAAAUCAGCCCCCUCUCCCCGCACGCCCUGCCUCCCAAUCCCAUCUCCAACCCCUGCCACGCCCCUCACCGCGCGCCGCCGUGCGCCACCACCGGCCACCACGCCGGCGCGCCUACCCCUCCCCGACCGGCUACACGCAGAUGAUGCUCGAGCGCACCUUCUGGCUCGGUUCAAUGCGGCGGCUCGAGCGGUUGGGGGUGGCACAGCAGCUCGAUGCAGAACAGACGGCGGCGGCUGGAGCUUGCAUGGGCGGAUCCGUGCAUGGCAGGGUUUGGGGAGGCUGAUCCGAAAGCGGGCGGUGAGGCGGGGGUCGCCGGUGGCGACGAGGAAAGCUGGAGUGAGGGAUCCGGCGACCUAGGCAGGAGCUCGCCGGAGCUGGGCGACGGCAGACGGACGCGUGAGACGGAGGGAUCCGGCGUGGCAGCACGAAUUCCUUGCAGGUAGAUAGCUCCAAGCCAUGCCGGCUCUUCAGUUUUCCCUGGUGGAAAAGAGAGAAAGAGGAGGAUUCAGGGAGGAGGAGAGGUAGGGAGAAGAAGGUGCAGGUGCGAGCUUGGGGAAGAGGGAGCAGAACGUCAAGUGAGAGACUGGGAGGAUCAGGGAUUCUUCUUAGCCAGCAUGUAUAUGAUUUAUGCAGCAGAGAGGAGGCUGCAAGGGGAGAGGAACGGUGCAUUGAGGUUGAGGUACACAGGACACAUCGGGACCCGGGAGCUCGAGAAGAGGCUCGAUCGAUCUUGACAAGAACUGACUAUAUAUAGUGCAGAGAAGAUGAACCAUGCAAAAACUCAGGCUGGACCACCGGGGCUUCACUGCUGGCGGAACAGUAGAGGGCUUGGCUGCUACCAGGGUGAUCCAAAUGGAGCGUGUUUGUGGCCUCUUGCACUACAUGAUUAAUGGUAGCUUCUAUUACAUGACAUGAUUUUUGCAGCUGACAUGUUUCAUGCGAGAGGACAUAAAUUUGCAUCCUAUUUUUCUGUUCAAUUGGUUCCAAAUCACAAAUGUUUGUGCUAUCAGUGCAAUUUGAUGGAAAAGACGAGUCAUAUAUACAGCCAAUGAAAGCUUUCACAUCAGCCGUUGCUCUUGAUUGUCUUUGCAAGUCCAUAGAUAUAAUUUUUAUGAUUUUCCUUUACUCAUAGUAAGUACUGAAUAUUUUGUGCUUCAACCCUUUAGGUGUUAAUUUCUGUGAUGCAGCUAGCAAAGUUGGCAAUAGGUACAGUAUAACCAUCAUGAUCUGCACAGGGAUAUCACCUAGGUGCAUAAAUCAUAAUCAUUCAGUUUUUAUUUGGCAAGCUGGAGCUACCCAGAACUUUCGAUUUUCGUGCCAAGAUGGAUGGAUUGAACCGGGUGACCCACUGUCAGGUAUUAUUGUUCAGUUAUCCUGAGGGUAAUGUGGAUAUGUUCUGUUUGAGAUCAAAGCUUGGUAUUGCUAGAAAAUAUAUAUAUAUGUGCACUGAGAUUUCAAAUAUAUAACAGCACUGAUACAACGUAAUGUUUCCCUUGCUAUCAUACAUUUUUUCAUUACUAUCAUAACCUUUUUAGAUCAAGCAUGUCAUGCAUUACAUUUCAUUAUGUAUGUUGCAACUUCAAGACCACAAUGCCUCUGUAUGUAACAUCUGUAUGCUGAUUAUUUUUUGGAAUUGAAUUAUGUAUUCAAAGCUAUUGUUCAGCAUAUACAUCGUUUGAAAAUCAUACAAGGGGCAAAAUUUAUAUGUACCCUUCUGUUUUAAUAUAUGGCUAUAAAUGGAUUAACUGAGCCAAAGGCAGUGCCUUUUCAUAUGAAUAUAUGUGUACGACAUCUUCAGAUAAUCAUAUAUGUUUGCCGGCAGAAUAUAUGUGCAUUGAACUACAAAUAAAUUUAUUUGUGGGACUUGAUGCCGGAUAUAUACAGAUUGCAUGUUCUCUUAGGGCAUCUGCAAUGAUGGACGCCAGGAUUUAUUUCCCGAUAGACCGGCAGUUGCGUUAGUUGUUCCCAGUGUGCCCGGUACCAAUAGAUGCAUUGAGCGCUUUCUCUUUUCCUGGGCACGCGAGUAAAGAAAUGGGUAGCCGGGCCUACGUAUUUAGAGCCGCUGAUAAGCACCUAGCAUUGAAUGAGAAGGCGCUUACUUUUUUCUUAUCUUUUUGAUGUUUAACUUUUUACUCUUAAGUGCCUACACAAGAGUCUAGCAUUGCAGAUGUCCUUAAGCUAUAGGCUAUCGUAGUGGUUUUACCAAUCACAAAAAAGCGACCAAUGAUGAAACAAUAGUACAAAUUUAGAGCACAAUACAUCAUGAUCUAUUGGAAAUUACAUGUUCCAUAUUUGACAUAUCAACCAGUCAAAGUGGCCAAACUUGAGCAUAUCGAGCACGAAACAGUUAAUUGAGUGCGAGCUUUGUUGACAGCCCUACCGGUUGGAGGUAAACAAAUACCUUUCCCCCUUUUUUUUCAUAAAAUCAAAUGCUUGUACUAGUGUUGAUUCCAUGCAUUUUCAUACAUUAUUCAACAUUUUUGUGCGUUAGUAAAAAAGUCAUUCUUUUAAUUCACAUUAUUGAGCUAGGAAAAUGGACAUAAUUAUUCUUUCUGUCCCGUUGCAACGCACGGGCUCUUUUGCUAGUAUAUAUAUAUAUAUAUAUAUAUAUAUAUAUAUAUAUAUAUAUAUAUAUAUAUAUAUAUAUAUUAUCUCUCCCUAAUAAUAAAGCACGAAUUGGGUCUCCGGGUUCACCGUCGCGGCAAUUUGCGAAAAGCCCCUGUAGUUUUUGUUAUUCAACCUGCGCUCCUUUUUUUUGAGUGAAAAAAAAACAAUUUGUUUUUUACUCCUCGCAUCCAUCUCCUCCUUCCCCCCAAGCGAGCUAGGGUGGAGCCGCCGCCUCUCCGGCGUGCCCGCUGGUGCUCCGUCCACCCCUCUUCUUCAUCUUCUCCCCCAACCCCUACUCCUCCCAGGACCAACCGUGGUGGACGACAUGCCCGCCGGCGCUCCGUCCUCCCCUCUUCUCCAUCUUCUAUCCUCCCCUUCUCCCUCCUCCAUCCCUGUCCAGUCCCCACCUCCCCUCACCCCUACUCCCCACAGGCCCACGAGGAUCGAGCGUGCGCGGGCGGCGUUGGUGGACGAGUUGGGCGAUGCGUGGAGGACCUCAAGUACUGCCUCCCCUGCACCUCAAUCGUCGUCACGGCUACCAACUUCUUUGUCCCCCAAGUACUGGUUUUCAGCAGAUCCGGGCGAGGUAAUUAAAUGAUGUUGGAGGUUGUGAUGCAGCACAAGUAGCACAAGUUCAUCAUGUCCACUGCCCUUCAUUGAAUAUCAGGUUCAAUUUUCUUGAUUUUUUACUUGAGCUGUUACUCAUAGCAUUUUUUUAAUCUGGGUAUCAUAGAGUUGGUGUAGUUAAAUGAUGUAAGGGGAUAAGGAACAAAAUUGUGUAAGACGAUACUAACCUGUACUCAUAUUAGUCCAACAUUGUUGGAUAUUGCUUGGAGAUUUGCCCUUUUUAUAAGAAAUCAAAAACAGUCUGUAAUCUGGACGUGUACGAACGUUGCGUGAACAUUUUUCUGUUUAAAUUGGGCGUCCAAUCUCUGUAAGCUGGGUGUUGCCUGUACUUUAUAUUAGUCCAAUGUUUGCCAGUUCCUGGUUGAUUCCCUAUUUGAUGUGAAUCCAUGAACAAAUAAGUUUAUGAACAAGUUCCUGUUUGCUCCCUGUUUGAUUCAAGUCUGAAAGAUUCAUAGAUGCUACACUUCAGUUAUAAAUGCACAAAAAGUUAGGACUGAUAAUAUUAUGAAAGAAAUAUGUUCCAUCCGCCCCUACCCCUUGUAAAUAUAUAUUUAAAUGUGCAUGCCCACUUUGUCGGAACACCGCCCAAUGCUGGAAGACAAUCCGCCGUCCGACGGUGUUGCACAGUUCGCCGCAACUUUGUCGGCUGGUUCUUCACUUGAGGUAUGUAGACAAGGAGUAUUGAAAUUAUGGUCUUUUGUUUUCUGCAACCUAACGUUCAUUGCUUCAGAUGUGUCUUUGGUCUUAUUUUACUACUGGUUGUGAUUGUGGUACAUAACACUGAUGUUGAAAGCGUGGAUCAGGUCCUAUAUUAGCUAUCUUUGAUUUACAUCCAAAGUUCAGUUAUAAUUAUAGGCUGGAAACUUUAUAUUAUUUUGCUAUCUUAUUUCGUUUGUGAAAGUAGCUGCAACAAGUAGCAGUUUGAAUUGAUGCAAUCAAGUAAGCAAGGCUUUGAUUGUAAAAUUUGUGUGUUGGCAUAGGCUGAAGCAAGCACCUUUACUAUCUGUAUUUGUCUGAAUCUUUUUGUGUUGUCAUAGGCUGAAUCAGUAGUUGGUGCAGCUAGCUGCAGCAAGCACCAGCUUAACUUAAUGCUAGCAUUUACUUGAAGCCUUGAUAUGCUCUUGCCGACUGGGUAAACUAGCACAUCUUCGAUCUGUAUGCUUGAAUCUUUAGUUUGUGCAGCUAGCCACUAGCAAGUAAUUAAAGCCUUGAUCUGCUCUUGCCGACAAAAUAAUCUUGAAAGAAGCAUCUAGAUCACUCCACUAUGGGCCCAUCCAGUAGCUUUUCAAGAUUAUCUGUCACUCCACUAUUUACUGUAUUGUUAUAACUGCUCCCUAUUUGAUUGAACUCCGUGCUGAUUGCAUCUUUGGAAAAUCUGGAAUAUUGUUUGAACAAGGUAAUUGUUGGAGUUUUAACUUCAAUUUUUGUUGUCGUUACACAAAAUGUCGCCUCCGCCGACUUUGCUGGAAGACCAUCAGCCAUUGCCUAGACCGACUUCGCUGAAGGUAUCUCUUUUUCUUUGUGUAAAUUAUGAUGGAGCUAUGUUUACAGUGAUUUACAGCCAGGGUUUACUGAUGUUUAAACUAGAAAAAUUGAUUUGAGAAAGUAUUUAACGCAAUUGGUCUAUUGCCAUAGGCUCAAGCAAAGCACCUCUUCGAUCUGUACGAUUUGCCAUCUUGUUUCCUUUAUCAAACUAUCUGCAGCAAGUAGAAAUCUGAAUUGAUGCAAGCAAGUAGUAACCAUUAUGGCGGCGCGGUAAACUUCUAAUGUUCCAUCCAGAAUAUCUUCCAGCAAUAUAUGUGAACAGAAAAAUGGUGACCUUUUGAAACAAUUAUAUGGUUCUAUAUAUCCAAAGGAAUUGACGCCAAUUAUUAUCCUGGAAAAGAGUGUUACCUGCCAUAGUGCUUCUUGCUGUACAAAUAUCCGAAUAUUAUAUUUUACACAUGUGACGCAAGUCUUAUUCGUUUGCAAAAAUAUGGUUGUACAAGAUGGAUGCGAACUCCGAAAACAAAAUUUGGGACAACUGCUAGCAUUCAACGAGAACGAAUAUGAAGACAACAUACCUGCCGAUGUACUAGAAUUCCUCAGUUGUAUCAAGAAAACCAAAAUUAAAACUGCUAUGACAUGUGCUAUUUAUGAAAAUGAGCUUCUCUACUACUGGCUGGCAGCCCGUGAUGGUGGUUUUAGAUAUGAAGCUAAGGAAAGCGUGCCUCAUAAUUCAUUGGAUGGCCAAUUAGAUAUUGGUGGCUGUAAAUGACAUGAGUAUUUAGCUUUAAUAAAAUCUACUCCCUCCGUCCCAUAAUAUAAGAACAUUUUUGCUUGAAAAACGUUCUUGUAUUAUGGGAUGAAGGGAGUAGAUAUGUACUCUUGUGGAUGAGGCUGGUACUAAAUGUGCAUUGAAUUUACCAGCAUUGGUUAAUAUUGGUUUUACUGUCGA